rnacentral:sRNA from 1 species
UUCUUAUUUACAGAAUCAUAUGCUGGAAGUGUGAUAUUGAUUAACUUUUGAAUAGUUAACUUUUGUUUCCCGUCUCACUAUUUCCUUGUUUUUUGCAUUGACGUAUGGUUAUUUUUUA